GAAAUUUAUAUUUUCACGAGUGGCGUAGCCACGAGUGAAAAUAUUUUUUUCUAUGAUCACGAGUGAAUUAAAUUCGAUAUGCUACCGAAACCAACAAAUUUUCUUUUUAUUUUAUGCUUAUUUUUGUAGUUUUGUUAAUUUUCCGAAUUUGCCUCAUUAAGUUUCCCCGUGGGGUGCCUCAAUUUUUAGAACGCACACAGAACUUACUACACAAGAAAAUAGUUCACAUCUGUAAAAAGUGUAUUACUAUUAAAAUCAAUGUUUUAUUCAACAUAUAUCUUUUUCAUACUUUAUACAUUCAAUAUUAUUACAAACAAUAGUUUAAUUUAAAUUAUUAUGAAAUUAAUAGUGUUGCAUAUACUGGCGUAGUAAUUUGUGUAUUCAACUGAUCUCAAAGUUACGAAAGUGCUCGCCAUGUUGAACAACACUUUUACGACUUGCUGGAUUAAUAACACAUAACUGGAUUAAACUAGGAACGCAAACAUAUUUCAACAGUGUUUUUGUGCUAAAUGGUUUCGAUAUCAAUCACUGUCACUCUCUGCAAUAAGACGGAUUCGCUUGUAGUGUCGCUGUACAGGGGAAUCUGCGGUUACCGCCGGUGUAACUGUACGGGAUGGAGAUUGCCUCUGGUGAUUGACUACGUUCUGUGUCUGGGAAAGGCCCAUGUAAGAUUCAGAGUUGUGAAAAUUAAAUGUUACAUUGCCCUGGAAAUGUGAGUUGACAAAAAAUCCUCGGGCCAUCGGAAAAUCACUUGAUGCAGGUGUGGCUGACGCAGUGGCAGUGGCUGUGCGGUUGUGCUUUUCAACUGACUGGUUUGAAUGAGAAAGUAUUUUUGAAAUAUUUUUUGACUGUUCCUUGUUCAAACUGCUGUAAUUAUUUAAGCUGUUAAUAUUUCUGUGCCCUGAAAUCUGUAUUAUUUGAUGAGCAGGAACAUUCUCGUCAUUCAGCUUCUGAAUCAAGUGCUUUCUUGCACUGAAAAAUGUUUAUAUCUAUGGUAAAAAUAAAAUCAAUAUUCAACGGUACACAUGACAUAUUACAUAAGAUAUAAGUUGUAAUUGUUUUGUGUGCUCUUGAAACACUUCAAUAAAUACAUGGUGGUCUGUCAAGUACUGGAUGUAAUGGAACCGGAAAGUAGAGGAAUAGUACUAGUCGAGUACAGGAGAUUUUAUGAAUUAAAAUUUUGAGUGUUGUAGCAUGAAAAUUGGACAAACAACACCUAUUUAAUAAAUGGGAGGUAAGUGAUUUUUAUUAUAUAUUUUAGUCUUGUUAUGAAAGUAGUGUAUAUAAUAUGGGGUUUUGACCUGUAUGGGGUGAUUCUUGGCUCUUGAAUACCAGCAUCUGUUUUCAUCUCGGUCAUUAUGCUGUAUAGCUUGUUUAUUCCCAUGGCAGACUUCCUGAACCAGCAUUGCUGUGUCUUGUUGCCAGGAGUUAAGAAGAAGGGGCUGUCUUCUGUCAUCAUGUCAACAGGGCGUUUGUCGGCAUAUAGCUUGUAGAGAUGCACCGGAUCUCUGUCAGGUUGUUCGGGAACUGCAUAUGCCCGUGGCUUGACUUUCCUAUGAAUAGUUAAAAUGAUUUUCACCAGUACGGGUUUUUGUCUGACGCUCAGUGUCGAAGGUGAUGAAUUCUUCACCAGUUUCAAAAUCGAUUCCAAGGCUGACAUCACCCCAGCAUAGGGUGUGAAUUUCCUUGCCGGUUCUCAUCCCAAAAUGGGUUGUACAUAUAAGCCACAGUGAGUGUAAUAGAGCUCUUGGGCUUGAUUCUCCCAGAGUUUUAGCUGCGUACAUAGCUUCAAUAUGUUCAUUUGUUAAUGCCUGGGCUUGAUGCGGUUUAUUUCCAUAACCUUCUUUUUUCAGAGCUUUUUGUUUACUUUUUAAUACUUCCCUCACUUUGGCAAAUUCAGGGUCAUUUAUCAAAGAGUGCUUGUAGUUCAUGUGCCUUAAAUGCCUGUCGAUUGAGCUUAAAAAUGCCCUCAAAGAUGUGGGUUCAUACUCUGAUCCAUCUUUUUUAGUCACACCCAACAAAAACUCGCAGACCAGAGGGUUCAAUUCAUGAGGAGGUAUAGUUUCAAUAUUUCUUGCCUCAUUUUUGUGACUUUUUAGGAAA